rnacentral:sRNA from 1 species
UUUUGCUGCAAACGCUGCAUAGCUCGUUGUCGUCGUUGUUGCCAUUGCCGUUGUCGUUGUCGUCGUCGUCUGUUCGGCAUUAUUGUGAAGAAUCUAUCUUCUCAUCGAGUUACGUCGCAUGUGAAACACAGUUUGGCAAACAGUAUCGUGGAAAACAGUAUCGGUCGUAGUUCGCGAGCGCUUGCUUGUCUAACCCAUACACAUUUACACCUAUUCGAGAAGAUUAUUAGCAGAGCGCUGUGUUCUUUGCCACAGCGACGACAAGUGCUGUGUAGUUGUAGUCUUUAGUAUCUUUGAAGUAGAUCACAACAACAACAACAAUAAUUUUAACACCAACAACAAUUAAUCAAAUUACAAAAUUGAAACGCCUUAUAUAGAAAAGUAAAAGGAGAAUUGCUAAGCAAGCUUAAAGCGUAACAAAAAACACCAAAACCAACAUCAACAAUCCAAAGAAUCAAGUCAACUAAUAAAUCCCUUCAAGAAAAGUGCUACAUCCAAUCACAUUUGCCAUAGUGAAUUCGCGUUGGAACGAACAUCUGUGGAAAAGUCUAAAAAUACCGAUUCGAUAACUUGUAAAUCAUUUGGGCAACUCUUAUCUCUCUCUCUCUCUCCACCACCUUUCAACGCAUUUGGCAUUAUUUUGGAGUUUAUUCUUUUUUGCAAACAAAGUCUUGCAAGUGCAACGUGUGUUCAUUUUGUCUCGCUAGAAAACUAAAAAAUAACUGCUAAAAUAUUCAGCAGCCAAACAAUAAUAAUAAAAAAUAAAAUAAAAUAAUAAUUUAUGAAUAGUGGCAACAGUUAGUGCGGUCUUAAAUUGUCGACUGGCUGGCAACAAUAAAAAAAAAAACAGAAAAUAAGCGUAAAUUAAGAAGAAAAAAAAAA